rnacentral:tRNA from 1 species
GCCUGGGUGGCUCAGUCGGUUAAGUGUCUGACUUUGGCUCAGGUCAUGAUGUCACGGUUUGUGGGUUCAAGCCCCAUGUCAGGCU